AUGCAUUUGAGAAUAGUUUUCUCCUGUGCUCUGCUUCUAGUGACGGUAGUGUCUCCUCCUUUGGCUAAUGCGUCCAGCAAAGCAAUACAUCAGGUCUACAUUGUGUAUCUGGGGGAGAAACAUGAUGAUCCCUCCAUGGUCACCGCAUCACACCAUGACCUACUAACCUCGGUUUUGGGGAGCAAGGCUGAAGCCUUGAAGUCCAUAGUUUACAGUUACAAGCACGGAUUCUCUGGGUUUGCAGCAAUGCUCACCGAGUCUCAAGCCGAGACACUUGCAGAAUUCCCCCAAGUCAUCAAUGUGAAUCCUAACACUUAUCACCAAGUACACACAACUCGCAGCUGGGACUUCCUUGGCCUUGACUAUAAGAACAACCACCAACAACAACCGAGCCUCCUUAGAAGAGCAAAGUACGGUGAGGAUGUCAUCAUUGGGGUGAUUGAUACAGGCAUAUGGCCUGAAUCACCAAGCUUUGAAGACAACGGAUAUGGAUCUAUACCGGAACGGUGGAGAGGCACAUGCCAAACUGGCCAGUCGUUCGACAACACAAAAUGCAAUCGAAAGAUAAUCGGGGCACGGUGGUACGGCCACGGCAUCAGGGCAGCAGUGCUUAAGAGAGAUAUCAUGUCGCCUAGGGACUCAAACGGCCACGGAACACACGUAGCAUCGAUAAUCGCGGGUAGCCAGGUGAGUGGUGUGAGCUAUGGGGGUAACCUAGCCACAGGCACAACACGCGGCGGAGCGCCACGCGCGCGUCUAGGUAUCUACAAGGUGUGCUGGGGGGACAAGGGCUGCCCUGACAUGGCGAUCCUGGCGGCUAUCGAUGACGCCAUACACGAUGGCGUGGACAUCUUGUCUAUCUCGUUGGGACUGGCCGGCCAUGAGAUCCCAGGGACGUUGCAUGCUGUGCUACGAGGGAUCUCCGUCGUGGUCUCCGGGGGUAAUGAUGGUCCUGUGCCACAAACGGUGUCGAAUGCCGUUCCAUGGGUCACUACGGUGGCCGCUAGCACAAUUGACCGUGCUUUCCCCACUCUAAUAUCUCUCGGAAACAAGGAAAAUCUAGUAGGGCAGUCUCUUUACUAUAAUGCAUCUGUGGUCAGCAACAACUUUGAGGACCUUGUUUAUGGGCGAAGCUGCAACGAGGCAUCACUGGCAUCGAGAAACGUCACUGGUAAAUUUGUGAUGUGCUACGCACCGGAGGCGCCGCCUGGUGCACGCCUCCAUACAGCCAUUUACCAUACGAUGGAUGCCGGUGCCAAGGGAUUAAUCUUCGCGCAGCAUGCCAACAAUGAACUCGACACUCUGGACGAGUGCGACGGCAUCAUGCCUUGUGUGCUCGUGGAUUUCGAGAUCGCGGAGAGAAUCCUAUCAUACUGGGGCAUCACAGGGAAACCGGUGGUGAAGGUCUCGCCUGCCGUGACUGUUGUUGGAGAUGGGGUGUCGGCGCCGAGAGUCGCCUCAUUCUCGUCGAGAGGCCCGAGCCCCUUGUUCCCGGGCACACUCAAGCCUGAUAUAUCUGCACCGGGAGUCAUCAUCCUGGCGGCCAUGAGAGGCUCCUACCAGUUAAUGUCUGGAACGUCUAUGGCAUGUCCUCAUGUCUCUGCGGUCACCGGCCUGCUCAAGUCAGUUCACCCAGACUGGUCGCCUGCCAUGCUCAAGUCUGCUAUCGUCACUACCGCGUCGUUCGUUGAUCUUUUUGGUAUGCCGAUCCAAGCAGAGGGUGCCCCAAGGAAGCUUGCCGACCCCUUCGACUUUGGUGGUGGCAACAUUGACCCAGACAGGGCUGCUGACCCCGGAUUGGUCUAUGACGUGGAUGCAGGAGACUAUAUCAAGUUCGUCAACUGCACCCAACAUGGAUCAUGGCUAGACGACUGCGAGUUAAACCAGCGCAACCUCAACCUCCCGUCAAUUGCUGUGCCAAACCUCAAGGACUAUGUCACGGUCCGACGCACUGUCAUGAACGUCGGGCCAUUGGAAGCAACCUACCGAGUGGAGGUUGAGGCUCCAGCAGGCGUAGCAGUGUCCGUGGAACCAUCUGUGAUUAAUUUCACCAGAGGCGCUAGCAGAAGUAUAACAUUCGUGGUGGCUUUCACUGCAAGGCAGAGAGUGCAAGGUGGGUACGUCUUUGGGAGCUUGAUAUGGAGGUCAAAUGGAAGUGCACACUCAGUGAGAAUUCCAGUUGCAGUACGAACUGUGAUACAAGAUUUUGUUGCAGAUACAUCAUAA
rnacentral:rRNA from 1 species